rnacentral:rRNA from 1 species
AGGACGAACGCUGGCGGCGUGCUUAACACAUGCAAGUCGAGCGGAAAGGCCCUUCGGGGUACUCGAGCGGCGAACGGGUGAGUAACACGUGAGUAACCUGCCCCUAGCUCUGGGAUAGCUCCGGGAAACCGGGAUUAAUACCAGAUACGACCACUUUAGACAUCUGUCGUGGUGGAAAGGAUUCCGGCUAGGGGUGGGCUCGCGGCCUAUCAGCUUGUUGGUGGGGUAACGGCCUACCAAGGCGACGACGGGUAGCCGGCCUGAGAGGGCGACCGGCCACACUGGGACUGAGACACGGCCCAGACUCCUACGGGAGGCAGCAGUGGGGAAUAUUGCGCAAUGGGCGAAAGCCUGACGCAGCGACGCCGCGUGGGGGAUGAAGGCCUUCGGGUUGUAAACCCCUUUCAGCAGGGACGAAGCGAAAGUGACGGUACCUGCAGAAGAAGCGCGGCUAACUACGUGCCAGCAGCCGC